GUAAGUGCCGCCCUCGGCCGGCGGGAAUCCCCCGGGAGGUGGGGGAAGCCGCCGCCGCCGCCGCCCCCGGGCCGCCCCGGCGGGGAGCUGUCAGGCACGGGGCAUCGCCUCCGCCUCCUCCCCGCGCGCGUGCCUCCUGCCGGGCAGCGCCGCCGCGUAAUGGCGAACCCGGCGGCCAAAUAAUGACUUGUUCAUUGUUCCUACAUGCGGCUGAUGGGACUUCCAAAGCAUCAUGGACUUAAUUAUGCAGUUUUUGUCGACCAAAGAGCAAAAACUAUUAUACGUGUUCUUGAAAGUUAACCAGUGCAGGGAGCUGUGUGCCAGGCCCUAUGCAUCAGUCAAGGCACGUGUAUGGGAACUGUUGGGUCACGGCCUGAGCCACUGGUUGAGCACCUGAGGAAAGGACCUGGUCAACCCUGGGAGCACAGGUGAAGGCA
ensembl:lncRNA